UACAAUGGCCGGUACAAAGGGUCGCAAUACCGCAAGGUGGAGCUAAUCCCAAAAAGCCGGUCUCAGUUCGGAUUGGAGUCUGCAACUCGACUCCAUGAAGUCGGAAUCGCUAGUAAUCGCGUAUCAGCAUGACGCGGUGAAUACGUUCCCGGGCCUU
rnacentral:rRNA from 1 species